rnacentral:rRNA from 1 species
GGAUUUCUUCGGAUUGAAGCCUUGGUGACUGAGCGGCGGACGGGUGAGUAACGCGUGAGUAACCUGCCUCAUACAGGGGGAUAACAGUUGGAAACGGCUGCUAAUACCGCAUAAGCGCACAGUACCGCAUGGUACGGUGUGAAAAACUCCGGUGGUAUGAGAUGGACCCGCGUCUGAUUAGGUAGCUGGUGGGGUAACGGCCUACCAAGCCGACGAUCAGUAGCCGACCUGAGAGGGUGACCGGCCACAUUGGGACUGAGACACGGCCCAAACUCCUACGGGAGGCAGCAGUGGGGAAUAUUGCACAAUGGGGGAAACCCUGAUGCAGCGACGCCGCGUGAGCGAUGAAGUAUUUCGGUAUGUAAAGCUCUAUCAGCAGGGAAGAAAAUGACGGUACCUGACUAAGAAGCCCCGGCUAACUACGUGCCAGCAGCCGCGGUAAUACGUAGGGGGCAAGCGUUAUCCGGAUUUACUGGGUGUAAAGGGAGCGUAGACGGCAUGGCAAGCCAGAUGUGAAAGCCCGGGGCUCAACCCCGGGACUGCAUUUGGAACUGUCAGGCUAGAGUGUCGGAGAGGAAAGCGGAAUUCCUAGUGUAGCGGUGAAAUGCGUAGAUAUUAGGAGGAACGCCAGUGGCGAAGGCGGCUUUCUGGACUAU